UACGUAGGGUGCGAGCGUUAAUCGGAAUUACUGGGCGUAAAGCGUGCGCAGGCGGUUUUGUAAGCCAGAUGUGAAAGCCCCGGGCUUAACCUGGGAAUGGCAUUUGGGACUGCAAGGCUUGAGUGCGGCAGAGGAGACUGGAAUUCCUGGUGUAGCAGUGAAAUGCGUAGAUAUCAGGAGGAACACCAAUAGCGAAGGCAGCUCGCUGGGACGGUACUGACGCUGAGGCGCGAAAGCGUGGGGAGCGAACAGG
rnacentral:rRNA from 1 species